CCAACGUGCGCGGUGAAAAUACACAGCUGAGCUGGCCACCACGCGAGGCGUUAGCUCAGCAAGUUUCUCUCGUGUGCGGCAGGCUUAAAAGACGAUUUGUUCGUCUGGACGACUUGUCCGUCUUUUAAUAUGAAAACGGCUAAAUUGACAUUGUGAAACAAGAGGCAGGGUUACAAACUUUAACAAAGCACAAAAUUACAACACAC